rnacentral:rRNA from 1 species
UACGGGGGGGGCAAGCGUUGUUCGGAAUUACUGGGCGUAAAGGGUUCGUAGGUGGCCAACUAAGUCAGACGUGAAAUCCCUCAGCUUAACUGGGGAACUGCGUCUGAGACUGGAUGGCUUGAGUGCAGGAGAGGAACGCGGAAUUCCAGGUGUAGCGGUGAAAUGCGCAGAUAUCGGGAGGAACACCAGUAGCGAAGGCGGCUCGCUGGGCCACACCUGACGCUGAGACGCGAAAGCUAGGGGAGCGAACAGG